AAACAAGGGCUCUGGAUUCAUGUUGUGCCAAUGGCUACGCCAAGAGAUAAAGCACAAAGACCUCCGGUGAAAACCACUGACCUGCAAAAUGGAGACCUUGUUCCUUUCUGUAGAUGGGGAAAUAAAGGGUUGGAGGUCACUGUUCUAGCAAAUCAUAGAGCAGUGCUUGUCAUUGCAUCCUUGAUGGAGGUACUGAAGGACAUGGCUUCAGGCAGGAGAGCAGUAAUGGAAACACUCAUGUAAAGUCAGAUACUGUCUUAAAUGUCUCUGGAGCAGAGUGUGAUUCAGAAGACCUUUAAAGCUGCAGGGAGAUGCAGACGCUGUGUCUUGGUAAGCUGACACCAAAUAGCAGGUUUCAGCUCCACAGGUGCUUCAUUGGAGUGGGAAUCUGAGAUGGAGCUGUGUGCUGAAGAUGAGCUCAGGCGGGCAGGGAGGGCUCAGCAGGGAGGAAUCUCCGGAGAAGGACGCGGGAUGCCUUCCCUCUGCUCCCACCUGGUGGAUCAAAGAAGUGCUCAGCCAUCCCCACCAGCAGGUCACCUUCCAGGUGUCACAGCCAUACACACCUCACUCAGGUUACAGCACCCACUGCUGGCACCCGCUAUCCCUGCAGAGAGCACGAAUGACACAUGCUCACUAUGAGGGCUGCCCUCCAAAGACCCCUCCUUUCUUCAAGAACCUCAGGAAGUGACACAAAUAACAAAAAAAAACCCCAAAAAUCCAUAAAACCCAACCCACUUCAAGGCCAUGAGGAGCUCACACUACUCAGAGCCCUCUGUCCUCAUUACAGGACCCUGUGAUACUUAAUUGUAAGCGGAGGAUGUGGGCACCCUCUCCGUUGCCCUUGGCUGUGAGCUGCCAUGGGGUGGGUGGCAGCUUGUGGUGACAGACAGUCGUCACCCAGCCAUCACACCACCUGGAGCUUCCAGCAGCUGCCGAAUAAACGGAGCCCCUUGGAAAGUUUGUCAAUAUUUAUCCUCGCUGCAUAUAGCAGAUGAGUGCUAGCAAAUUACAGGCUGUACCACCGCAGACAGGCAGGCUCUGGUUGUGUGCAGUCGGGCUUGCCAAGUGUCCUUAUUGAUGUUGCCUUCAUCAGCUGUGCUUGUUGUAAAUCAGCCACUUCAGUGUGCUGCUUGCUGCUGCGGAGGGUCUGGGAAUAGUCUCAAAUCUUGGCAGGAGUUCUCGUGCAAUCCAGAAUGGUGUGGCCAUAUGGGGGUCACAGUAGAAGCAGGUUAGCUUACUUUGUAGAGGUCUGGAAAACACAACUGGACCUCUGGAGGAACGCAGCCCAUCCUUGGCCAUAAGAUUUGGCCAUCUCUUUGAGUUAGCCAAAUUCUUUUCUGCAGGCUGAGGGUGAACAUUUUUGCCCCAUACCAGCCCUCCCUGUCCUCUCUAAACUGGGAAAGCUCUGCCUAGCUCUGUGCUCAGAGCAUGACACUCUGAUGUAUCUAAGGGGUAAGGAGAUAACGGGCCCAGAUAUGAUUACCAUAUAUACUUUCCCCAUGACCAACUUUACACGUGCCAAGAUAAGACUGCAGUACUCACUUUCCCCAUGGCCAACUUUGUUCCCCCCCAAAAACCUCCUGUUUUUUCCCUUCACUACUUGUAGAGAGCAACUUAGAUUCCAGGAUUCUACAACCUUCUGAUGCUGGUGGUAGGGCAGACUGGUGGCUCUUUUGCCAUCCCAUGGACACAGACCCAAGUCCACUCAGUGGGCUCAUUGGUCCUGGGUCAAUGUUUCCAAAUGAAAGAGAGUAGAGGGAAGAUCUCCCCUCCCUCCUUUUCCAUUCUGCAGUUGAACAGACACAACAUUUCUCUUCAUUUGCCACAGAACAGCACAGGUCCCAGUUCCCAUAUUGUGAAGCCCUCUGCCAUAAAUCAGGCUGAUAGGUUUAUUCUCUACGUAAUGGGAAAUUAUGACAAAUGCAGCUGUAUAAUCUAGUUAGUAACUCACCAUAAUGACUACUUCUGGGGUGAUUUAUGGGUUUUGUCAUAUGUAAGCUUUCAGAACACUAGAGAUUACAUUUUUCACACUUUUCGUUGGAAUCUCAGUUUAUUAGACUUUACUGCAGCAUUAAUCACUUGCAGUACAACCCCGGACUUCACCAGUGUAUCAGAUCAGCAUGGAAAAAGCAGAGAAAACAAGAGCUGUUGUGAAUUAAUGAGCCGGGUAGCAUGUCUCCUAACCAGCAAGGAACAACCUGUGUUCUUCUUCAAGCCACAGCAGAAAGCCCUGAAGCCCACAAGUCUUUGAUGCGAUGCGAGCAAGGGGCAAAGAAGUGAAACACCAGAGCCAGGCUUGAAAGCUGAAGGAUCUGCAAGGCUGAGUCGGUUCUAAUUAAUGGUGAAAUGAUGUGCGAAUCUGUCCUGAGUGUUCAAAUAAAGAAGAUUGAUUCCCAGUUA